rnacentral:rRNA from 1 species
AUUGAACGCUGGCGGAAUGCUUUACACAUGCAAGUCGAACGGCAGCACGGACUUCGGUCUGGUGGCGAGUGGCGAACGGGUGAGUAAUACAUCGGAACGUGCCCAGUCGUGGGGGAUAACGUAGCGAAAGCUACGCUAAUACCGCAUACGAUCUACGGAUGAAAGCGGGGGAUCGCAAGACCUCGCGCGAUUGGAGCGGCCGAUGGCAGAUUAGGUAGUUGGUGGGGUAAAGGCUCACCAAGCCGACGAUCUGUAGCUGGUCUGAGAGGACGACCAGCCACACUGGGACUGAGACACGGCCCAGACUCCUACGGGAGGCAGCAGUGGGGAAUUUUGGACAAUGGGCGCAAGCCUGAUCCAGCCAUUCCGCGUGCAGGAUGAAGGCCCUCGGGUUGUAAACUGCUUUUGUACGGAACGAAAAGGCUCUGGUUAAUACCCGGGGCUCAUGACGGUACCGUAAGAAUAAGCACCGGCUAACUACGUGCCAGCCGCCGCAGUAA